AUGUUAGUAGCACUACUCUGUUACUAUCAAGUGCAUCACCAGGGAAGAGGGGGGUCUUGAAGAAAGAAAAGUGUUGAGUCUAGACGCAUUAUGGUGCGAGUAAAAAAUUGGGCAGGAGCAAGCGGUUGGAUUGGCCUGACCCUUAAAGACCAAAGAUACUCGGCUUCCUCUUCAUCAAGUCGUGAAAUUCGACCCUUAGUUAGCAGCACCAAAAUUAGAGCAGGCCCAAGAUAA
rnacentral:rRNA from 1 species